AUGUCCAAAGAGUCCGUGAGGCUGUCUAACCAUCUCAUCUUCAAUGGCCUCCUUCUCCUCCUGCCCUCAGUAUUUCCCAGCAUCAGGGUCUUUUCCGGUGAGUUGACUCUUCCCAUAAGGUGGCCAAAGUAUUCGAGCCUCAGCUUCAGCUUCCGUCCUUCCAAUGAAUAUUCACAGCUGAUUUCCUUUAAUGAUGCAUCAUGUAAUAAAUACAGAGUUACAUGGAAUUGUUUGUUGAGUCCAAAUGGAAUGACACCCUCGCCGGCUCCCAUGCUGAAGUGCCCUGAUCACUUCCUAAAGGGAAAGGAACGUGAACUCUUUGCAAGGUCAUCCUACUCGGCACAUUUGGGUUUGGAAAUGUGGUGGCUAUUCAGGUUCCUGUGUGUGGUUCUGUGUGUUCGCUUGGAAAAGUGGAGAAAACUGUUACAGGUACGUAGAUGAGUGAGAGAAACAGACAGAUGAUAGAUAGAUGGGAUACAUAAGUGGAAUGGAAGAACGGUUGGACGAAUAGAUAAAAAGACGGAUGAGAUAGAUAGAUUGAUGGGUAGAUAGGUGGAUAGGUAGGUAGGCAGAUGAUUGAUAGAUACGAUAGAUGGAUAGGACAGAUAAAUGGAUAGAUAAGACGGAUGGGAGGGUGGAUCAAUGGAUAGAGAGACAGAGAAAUAGAUGAGAGAGAUGUAGAUAGAGGAGAUGUGGAAAGAUAGAUUAGAUGCUAGAUUGGAUAUAAAAGUGGAUAAGUAAGUGGAAUGGAAGAACGUAUGGCGAAAUAUACAGAAAGACAGAUGGAAGAUGGAGAAAUAAGUGAAAGGUAGGUAGAUAGAUGUGAUGGGUAGGUGGAUGGAUGGACAGAUGAUCAAUAGGAUAGAUCAGUGGAUAGAUAUGAGGGACGGGAGGGUGGAUCGAUGGAGAGAGACAGAGAAAUAGAUGAGAGAGAUGUAGAUAGAGGAGACAGAUAGAUGGAUAGAUAUGGAUGGUAGAUGGGAUACCUAGAUGGAUAGAUGAGUGGAAUGGAAGAAUGGGUGGAUGAAUAGAUAAAAAGGCAGAUGAGAAUAGAGAUAAUAGGUAGGUAGGUAAAGGAUGAGUGGAUAGCUGAUUGAUAGACAGGAGAGAUAAAUGGAUAGAUAUGAGGGAUGGAAGGGUGGAUGAAUGGAGAGAGAGACAGAGAAAUAGAUGACAGAGAAAUAGCUAGAUAGAAAGACAGAUACAUGAUGGGUAGAUAGAUGAUAUGGAGAUGGAUAAGUGAGGUCCUGCUUUGUUCUCAGUCAUCAUACCUCCCACCUCUCUCCUGCGAAUUCACAUCCGCAAAGCCUAAGCUUCAAGGUAAUGGUAUCAGGAAGCAGGUCAUUGAGGAGGUGAUUCGUCUACGGCCGUGGAGGCCUCAUGCCCCAGAUCAGUCUCUUCUGCGAGAAGAGACCCCAGAGAGCUCCGUCUCUUUCCCACCAGUGGGGGUCACAGCAAGCAGGGCUUGGUGGUGAACCAGAAGAGCACGCUCGUCAGACUGGACGCGUCCUCGAUCCUGGAUUUUGGACUUCCAGCCUCCAGAAUUCUCAAAAUAAAUUUCUGUAGUCUGUAAGCCA
ensembl:lncRNA